rnacentral:rRNA from 1 species
CCUACGGGUGGCAGCAGUGAGGAAUAUUGGUCAAUGGACGAGAGUCUGAACCAGCCAAGUAGCGUGAAGGAUGACUGCCCUAUGGGUUGUAAACUUCUUUUAUAUGGGAAUAAAAUGUUCCACGUGUGGGAUUUUGUAUGUACCAUAUGAAUAAGGAUCGGCUAACUCCGUGCCAGCAGCCGCGGUAAUACGGAGGAUCCGAGCGUUAUCCGGAUUUAUUGGGUUGAAAGGGAGCGUAGGUGGAUUGUUAAGUCAGUUGUGAAAGUUUGCGGCUCAACCGUAAGAUUGCAGUUGAAACUGGCAGUCUUGAGUACAGUAGAGGUGGGCGGAAUUCGUGGUGUAGCGGUGAAAUGCUUAGAUAUCACGAAGAACUCCGAUUGCGAAGGCAGUUCACUGGACUGCAACUGACACUGAGGCUCGAAAGUGUGGGUAUCAAACAGGAUUAGAUACCCUAGUAGUC